rnacentral:rRNA from 1 species
GUGGGGAAUAUUGGACAAUGGGCGCAAGCCUGAUCCAGCCAUGCCGCGUGAGUGAUGAAGGCCUUAGGGUUGUAAAGCUCUUUCACCGAUGAAGAUAAUGACGGUAGUCGGAGAAGAAGCCCCGGCUAACUUCGUGCCAGCAGCCGCGGUAAUACGAAGGGGGCUAGCGUUGUUCGGAUUUACUGGGCGUAAAGCGCACGUAGGCGGUUUGUUAAGUCAGGGGUGAAAUCCCGGAGCUCAACUCCGGAACUGCCUUUGGUACUGGCAAGCUAGAGUCCGGAAGAGGUAAGUGGAACUACUAGUGUAGAGGUGGAAUUCGUAGAUAUUAGGAAGAACACCAGUGGCGAAGGCGGCUCACUGGUCCGGUACUGACGCUGAGGUGCGAAAGCGUGGGGAGCAAACAGGAUUAGAAACCCUUGUAGUCC